CAGAGGGUGCGAGCGUUAAUCGGAUUUACUGGGCGUAAAGCGUGCGUAGGCGGCUAAUUGAGUCUGAUGUGAAAUCCCCGAGCUUAACUUGGGAAUUGCAUUCGAUACUGGUUAGCUAGAGUGUGGGAGAGGAUGGUAGAAUUCCAGGUGUAGCGGUGAAAAUGCGUAGAGAUCUGGAGGAAUACCGAUGGCGAAGGCAGCCAUCUGGCCUAAACACUGACGCUGAGGUACGAAAGCAUGGGAGCAAACAGGAUU
rnacentral:rRNA from 1 species